rnacentral:rRNA from 1 species
UACGGAGGAUCCAAGCGUUAUCCGGAUUUAUUGGGUUUAAAGGGUGCGUAGGUGGGCAGGUAAGUCAGCGGUGAAAUCUCCGAGCUUAACUCGGAAACUGCCAUUGAUACUAUCUGUCUUGAAUAUCCUGGAGGUGAGCGGAAUAUGUCAUGUAGCGGUGAAAUGCGUAGAUAUGACAUAGAACACCAAUUGCGAAGGCAGCUCACUACGGGAUCAUUGACACUGAGGCACGAAAGCGUGGGGAUCAAACAGG